rnacentral:lncRNA from 1 species
GGGUUCGGGGGCUGCGCCCACGGCUACUUGGCUCUGCUGCCUUCGGGCGCACAGCCGGGAAGCACGUCCUGGCCAAGCGCGUAGACAGGCCGCGGGGCACAGAAACUCUUUCAAGGCCACAGCCUCCAAAGACCUAACCUGCGCCCGGUGGGCUCUGGGUGGUGCCUCAGCCGGAGACUGAGCCCUUGACACACUGCGACAGUCACCCAAACCACUGCCGGGUGCCCCCGCUGCCCCUCUGGCUUAAGCAGCAAAGCUGUGCGAGAUUCCCGGUGAUUCUGUAACUAUCUCCUCAGGACGCUUGCAGCAGAAGUUGUCAGUGAGCAUACUGCUCUCCGUGUGGCGAUGACUCGCAGCUUGGAACUGGAAAGCGCAACAGUGAAUUUCUCAUGGCUCUUCCUUCAGCAGCCUUCCGCCAGCAGAUACCUGCGGGUGCCUGCUGUGUGUUGUCGGGAUGGACUGAGUUCCAGCCAAGCGGGUGCUUAUUCCCAUGCAGCGCAAAGCAGUAUCUCCCUUUAAUGUUUUCUUCUAACAAUUAUCUCCUCGGAUACCGAGCACAUCCUAAAAGCGGUAUUUUCCCCAAGCAGACUGUGGGGCAACCUGACACUUAAACAGGAGAAACCCUGAGUGGCUGCUCAGGACCCAGCACUCAUGAGCUUCUGGUUCCGUUCUCUGGGCUGCAAGGCAUGAGUAGAAGAGCAUUAAUGGAUCAAGAGUACAAAGUG